UACGUAGGGGGCAAGCGUUGUCCGGAUUUAUUGGGCGUAAAGAGCGUGUAGGCGGCCAGACAGGUCCGUUGUGAAAACUCGAGGCUCAACCUCGAGAUGUCGAUGGAAACCGUCUGGCUAGAGUCCGGAAGAGGAGUGUGGAAUUCCUGGUGUAGCGGUGAAAUGCGCAGAUAUCAGGAAGAACACCUAUGGCGAAGGCAGCACUCUGGGACGGUGCUGACGCUGAGACACGAAAGCGUGGGGAGCGAACAGG
rnacentral:rRNA from 1 species